UUUGGGUCUCGUUGCAAAAACCUUCUGUACCUCUUGCAAUACGAAUUGUCGUGGUAGGGCUCAAUGUGAUCAGAAUCUAGUCAUGCUUGUACUUGUUUCGAUGCUCGUGGAAAUUUGAAUUUGAAUAUUUUAAAAUUAGAUUUUGAAAUCUAAAGUCUGAAACUCUAGACCCAAAAUCUAAACCAAAAAUUAAUAGAAAAAGCUAUUGAGAAUCGAUUAAAAGAGUAUUUGUGGGGUGAGAUGUAUAUUGUGUAUAACAAGAAAAAGACAAAAAAGUGUCCGUUGCUUACUCUCUACACAACCGUGUAAAUAGAUCGAUUCCGGACCGAAUGGGGGACUAGAGAAAGUGAUCGAAAAGACAAACAAAGCUGCUUCAAAAGGACCCUAAAAAUCGAUAUUCCUAUUAGAAAAGACUUAAUUGGAAAUUCCAACAAUCUGAGAAAGCAUGUCUGCAACAACCGCCACAAUCCUCUCUUACUAUUAGAAGCAAUUCUCGUGAAUCGUUUUCCAAUGCGAAUAAAAAGUUGUCGGAGGAAACGCUGCCGUAUAUGCAACUACUAGCAUUCAAAAAAGUUGUUGUAAAUUACCGAUGUUGCCGAAAUAGCUGAUUCAAUACAUUUAUCAGUUGCCAAACUACAAAAGCAUAGAUAAGAUCCAUGUCAGGGCUGUGCGGCAUCCGGAUUUUUUCGGCGAACGGCGUUCGCGUUUUUUCGGAAUUUUUUGGUAUUCUUAAAACCUUUGAUGUUUUGUUGUUUUUCAUUGUAUUUUCUAAAUCUAAAUAAUUCAAUUCCAAAGUUUGAUAAAGAGUGUGUCUUGGUUUAA
ensembl:ncRNA T05D4.6 ncRNA